rfam:Oryza punctata chromosome 11, whole genome shotgun sequence.
CCUCUGUUCAGUUUUACAUUGUUUAUGUCCAACGUUUGAUCGUCCGUUAUAUUUGAAAAUUUUUUAUAAUUAAUAUAUUUGUUAUUAUUAGAUGAUAAAACUGAAUAGUACUUUAUGUGUGACUAUUUUUUUAAUUAUUCAUAAAUUUUUUAAAUAAGACGGACAGUUAAACGUUGGACACGGCUAUCCACGACAGUGCUUAUU